GAGUCGGACCUGCCCAGUGAAUAAUUUUUAACGGCCGCGGUACUCUGACCGUGCAAAGGUAGCAUAAUCAUUUGCCCUAUAACUGAGGGCUAGUAUGAAUGGUUUGACGUGAACGAAACUGUCUCUGUAUAAUUUUGUAGAACUUGAUUUUUAGGUGAAGAAACCUAAAUACCAUUGAAAGACAAGAAGACCCUAUUGAGCUUUAAAAGAAUAAUUUGAUAACAACAUAUAAUUUUAAAUAUUAAUCUAUUUUAAAUUUUGGUUGGGGCGACUAUGGAACAAAUAAAGCUUCUUUAUUUUUGUAAAACUCUCAAGUUUUGAUCCAGAAAUUUUGAUUAAUGGAAUUAGUUACCAUAGGGAUAACAGCAUAAUUCUCUUUGAGAGUUCUUAUCGAAAAGAGAGUUUGUGACCUCGAUGUUGGACUAGAGUAUCCUAAAGAUGCAGCAGUCUUUAAGGGUUGGUC
rnacentral:rRNA from 1 species